UUGACUUGUUGUUAACUUCAACUGUCUCCAUAUCACCAAUGUUCACCACUUGACCAAUCAAAUCUGUAAAUUUUGUACAACAUAAUAGAAACCAUUAGAGGAAGUCAAUGUUUUUUUUAACCAUAGAUAUUUUAAGAAUAUAAGAGGAAAUCAUAAAUAGUUACCAAUCAACAUGUUAGUGUUAAGCUGGAUUCUCCUGUGUUGGCUGUAUACUGGCGCCAAUUAUGAAGGACUUUGACCUGGAUUCUCCAUGCAGUCUUAGUCUUGUAUGGACAAUGUCUCUGAGGAAACCAAAAGAAGCCGCCAUUGUUUUAGAAAAUUAGGCCUGAAGUAGAAGGAAGUUAAGAGGUCUUAUACUUUCUAUAUUUUCGGCAAAAGAAGCUGUAUUAUUGUUUUUUAAAUUUUUGUUGAUUUUAAUUAUAAUGGCAUGAUUGUAAAUAGUUCUGAACUUGAAGCCUUCUUUGCUAAAAUUGCUGUGAAAAUGUUAAUAUAGAUUUUAAAUUUGCUU